rnacentral:rRNA from 1 species
GAUGAACGCUGGCGGCGUGCCUAAUACAUGCAAGUCGAGCGAACGGACGAGAAGCUUGUUUCUCUGAUGUUAGCGGCGGACGGGUGAGUAACACGUGGAUAACCUACUUAUAUUACUGGGAUAACUUCGGGAAACCGGAGAUAAUACCGGAUGAUAUUUUGAACGGUAUGGUUCAAGAGUGAAAGACGGUUUUGCUGUCACUUAUAGAUGGAUCCGCGCUGCAUUAGCUAGUUGGUAAGGUAACGGCUUACCAAGGCAACGAUGCAUAGCCGACCUGAGAGAGUGAUCGGCCACACGGGAACUGAGACACGGUCCAGACGCCUACGGGAGGCAGCAGUAGGGAAUCUUCGGCAAUGGGCGAAAGCCUGACGGAGCAACGCCGCGUGAGUGAUGAAGGUCUUCGGAUCGUAAAGCUCUGUUAUUAGGGAAGAACAUAUGUGUAAGUAACUGUGCACAUCUUGACGGUACCUAAUCAAAAAGCCACGGCUAACUACGUG